GUAAGACUAUUUUUUUGUGUAUACAGUACUCUGUUUAUAUGAAGCCAAUAGUGGAAAAUCAUUUCAAUCGACUUGCAAAUGAAAUUUCUGUAUAAAUACGGCAUCAUUUUACGAAAUAGUGAGACUCAACCAGAAGCGGAAACCAAAGAAAGUGGACAAUCCAUCAAGUUUUGUAUUAAUCCAGAAUGGUUAAUACAGGACUUGAUGUCGCUGUAACAGCUGUCUUCUGGGGAACAGCUGUAACAGACCAACAGCGCUGUUAGCUGCCCAGGUUAACAGUCUGUUAAGGCUGUCUCCAAUAACAGCCUGUUACAAAGCGCUGUAUCCAGUCUCUGAGAGCGCACUGGCAGCGCUUUCGCUCUUAAGAUCCACGCGGCUGUCAAGAUCCACAAGGCUCUCAAGAUCCACACGGCUCUCGGGCGGCCUUAGCUUUUAAGCUAGGACAUAUGUACAUAUUACUUCGACUACUUUAUUGUACUUGGACCUCCUGCGGACCUAUCUUCCUACCUCAGCGAUUCGUUUACAGACCAGCACAGUACCUUAUAGAUCUUCUAAAACAUUGUACAAGCAACAGACUAAUACACAACUUGAUGGA
rnacentral:sRNA from 1 species